rnacentral:lncRNA from 7 species
GCUUAUUUGUUUAUUUACAGGUAUUCAUAAGCACUUCACACCGGUUUGGUGUGUCUAUCGAAGUUUUCCUUGGUUUUCUUCGUCGUCUCCCAUUCUCCGACCCCUUCCUCUUCUGUGGUUAUUUCUUUCCUCUGCUAUCCAAGGAAAGAGAGAAACGAAACCCCGCCGCAGUUCCCGGCGGGCCGUCAGCCGGGUUGGGAAGGAGUUUCCGCAGUCUCUGCUGCCCCCGUGUGGCCAAUCGGGGAAAGUACGGCCGUGUUUGUUCUGUGCCGGAGGCGGCAGGACGCGUGCGCACAGGCACGUGGAAGUGGUAUAUGGACUUUCUAGAAGCUCUGCUUAGCAAUUCCGCCGAUGUUUCCUCUACUUAGUCCUCCACACAAUGGUGCGUAUGAGUCUCGAAGCAUAUAAGCAGCAUCCAUUCCCACGCAGACCUUACAUACGGGCGGGCAGUCAAUUCCAGGAGCUCCGGCUCAGCGGUACUUUUCUCUCUUCUAAUCCUGAGUGCUCCUUGUCUAUUUGCGCGGGCGGUUUGACACCCAAAGCGGAGCCGGACACGGACUAUUUUGGCUCUCAGCGUACCAGGCUCCAGUCGCAUGCAAAAUGAGGAAUCAAAAACACUGCAUGCGUGUGUACACGGAAAUGCACGUGUAAAAGAAGGACAAGGGCAAAGGGGGAAGGAGGAGAGUGGGGGGAAAUGGCAAGAAACACAGGCGCGCAUGCGCUGUGCGGUCUGCGGCGGGCUGGCGCAUGCGCUGGUGCGGGUCUCGCGUCUCGCGGCUGGCGCAUGCGCUGUCCGGCUCGCGGCUGGCGCAUGCGCUGUC